CUAGGCUGGAUUGUGAAUUCAUGCACAGAACCAGACCUUCUCUACACCUAAUGCCAAAAAAAGCCUGCAAAGUUCUCCUCUGUUACAAAGCAACACACAAAGCCCUCCUAGUCCAUCACCUGUUGCUCAGGGCAUCUAAGAGUAGAAACACACUGAGCCCCUGGAGCCCACACUGAGAAGCUGAGCACUGAGAAGGGACCAGGAUGUGAGGAACCACAUUAGUGGUCUUUGGCCGCUAUUGCUGAUGAGCAAAAGCCAGAAGGCUUAUUCCUUUGUUCUAGAAAUCAGAAAACAAGGAGAAGAAGCACUGCUUUAAUUACAUUUAGAGGUUUCUCCUAGAGCAGUGUCCCUGGUAUGGCAGCAUGGCUGUUUGUUCCUGAAUUAGUCAACCAUCCUAGCAGGACCUUGUAGCUAAUGACUACAAUAGCAAGUAUGGCUUUGAGUGCCACAGAGAUUCAAAACUGAUUCUUCAGACCUACGCAUGAGGCAGUUCUCCAGAUCUAUUGAGGACAUGGAAUGGUUUGGAAACCAAACUAAGGAACAAGGCACAAACCCAAUCUUUAUAGGACCAGGGAGAAAAUGCUAAGAGGAAAAAGAGCAAUUGUGGUUUUAUUCCAUCAUUAUUAGCUAUAACUUGCAAUUGCUGUGGGGUAGUUCAGAGUUUAUUCAGGUUGACAACUUGAGUCAAAAGUUUAUUUCAUUCCUGAAGCUGCAGACUUGAAAUGCUUCGAGUUCUUACAUCCCAGGGGAAUCCCGUAUGCAAAGUACUUGAAAAUACAUUUUUUAUCAGAAAGAAAAAGAGAUUUAAGCAUUGUUGCAAGUGUUUUAUAUAUUCAUAGAAAUCUCAAACUACUAGGUUAAUUCCUGAGACUAUUUUUACCUUUUGCACUUGUGCUUAUUGUUGUCUGAUUCCAUAUUCUCUUACUGCUUGUAACCCACACUAAUCCUAUCUCACUGCAUGCAAUAAUAAAGCAAAGAAUUACCUAAGGGAUGAAAAGAACGCAUUCCUCACUGUCUUGCAUAAGGAUGAAAACAGAACAUUUCAGGGACUUCAACAACUCAUUUCUCUGAAUAGGAGCAAAGAAAUAAAAGGCAGCAAGCUUUAACCACUCCACAAAUCCCAGCUCAAGUAAGAAGCUCACAAAGGGCACUAAGGCAGGGAGACAUGUGGACACGUGCACACCAUCACCUCAUCUGCAAAAAUGGACCUGUUUCACAGCACCAGCCAGUUCAUAGAGCCAAACGCCUUCCCCAGCCCCAUGGGAAA